AACGAACGCUGGCGGCGUGUUUAAGACAUGCAAGUCGCACGGGAUAAGACAUGUAGUAAUACUUGUUUUAUUUAGUGGCGCACGGGUGAGUAACACGUGAAUUACAUGCCCUAUAGUGGGGAAUAGCCCAGGGAAACUUGGAUUAAUACCCCAUGGUAUCGAAAGAUUAAAGGUGGCCGCAAGGCUGUCGCUAUAGGAUUGGUUCGCGCCCUAUCGGCUUGUUGGUGAGGUAACGGCUCACCAAGGCAAUGACGGGUACCUGGUCUGGGAGGACGAUCAGGCACACUGGAACUGAGACACGGUCCAGACACCUACGGGUGGCAGCAGUCGAGAAUAAUUCACAAUGGGGGCAACCCUGAUGGUGCAACGCCGCGUGGAGGAUGACGGUCUUCGGAUUGUAAACUCCUGUCAUCUGGGAGAAAGACCUGACGGUAAAUAGCCGGCAGGGUUGAUAGUACCAGAAGAGGAAGGGACGGCUAACUUCGUGCCAGCCGCCGCGGUAA
rnacentral:rRNA from 1 species